ensembl:lncRNA
CCACUUCUGAGCCAUGCCACACCACCAACCCAUGCCCAUGCUGGCCUUGAGCAAGAGGGCGUGAAAGCCUGCUUUUACAUCAUAGAUACUUGUGAUGAAUUUUUUUUGAGUGCCAUUUCAUAAGCAUAUUUAUUUAGGCUUUAUUCCUUCUAGGCCUUCAAGAACAAGUUGUUCCUCAAUCCAACCUUUUCAACAUUGUUAUUCACCUUCAUACUCUGGGAAAAACCCCUUCUUCUCUUGUCCCUCACUCUUUGAUACAGUCUCAGACAGUAGGAUAUCCAUGGACAGCAACUUGCCUCCCAAUGAUAGUGGAAGUUCCCAGCUCCAGCUGGUGCCCAAGGACAGGGUUUCCCUCCCUGCUCCUGACUGCACUGCACCUUGGAAGAGCUGCAGCCCUGCCUGCUAAUGAUGCACUGUUCAAUAGCAUCAAAAUGUUUUACACUCUGAUGAGACUGACCAAGUAUUUCAGCUGGCUGAGGCUGUGGGUGAGAAACACCCCCGGGUGUCAGGUAAGAACUGCUGUGCUGGUUUGGAUCAUCUAACCCAUUCAUCUACUCUGCCUGCAUCAGGGGCUGUAAGCAGAUUUGCAUCAAUCAGUUAUUGCUAUUUCCAACGAUUUUCAGCUCAGAGGACUUCCUGAACCUGCUGUGGCUUGCCUGUGGCAGGCACCCCUCCAAACACUUGAGAGAGCAUGUAAGUUCCUUGCAUCCUCAGGGUGCUUUGGAAAGGACCUCCUCAGCAGGUCCAUGGCCUGCUGCAUGACAAACUCCUUCCUUCGGUUUGCUUGGAACUUGGCUCCUACCAGCUUCGUGAGCUGGUCCCUCAUUGUUCUGGAGACACAACCAACACUCCAUCCCUACCCACUCUCUGUGUCACUGAUGGUAUCAUAGCUUUCCCUGUGCUGUGUCUCACAUCUCAUAUCUUUUCCAGCUUUAGAAGUCCUAUUCUCCUGCACUGUUCCUUGUACAGAAGUUGUGUCACACCUUUGCUCACCCUGUUACUCCCCCUGAAUCUUUUCCAUCUCUUCUCUGUCCUUUUCAAGGGCCCAGAACUGCACUGACCAUUCAAGGUGCAGAUACAAGAUGGAUUUAUACAGCAGCACAGUGAUCUUUCUACUUUAUUGGCUUUUCCUUUUGUAGUAAUUCCAAAUAUUUAUUUGUUCUUUGACUGUUGCAGAGCCAUGAUUUUAUAUUUUCAAGAAAGUAUCUACAGUAGUUCAACCAAGGCUUCCUUCCUGAGUAGCAGCAGUAAGCAUGGAAAACAUUAUUUAUAUGUGAAGAUGAAGGUGCUUCUCCUUAAAUGCAUUCAUGGCUGUACACCUGCCUAGACCAAAUUUUAUUUGCCAUUAUUUGGACUUGUCAUUCUCUCUCUUAAGAUCUUCCUGAGGACUUCACCAUCUGUCUUUGUAUUCCCUACGAAUAACUUUGUAUUUGUACUUUGUAAGUAUUUGACCUCCCUGCUCACCACAUUUUGCAUUUUUCUGUCUCUGGAUUCGCUCUCCUGCUCACAUCUCUGCCUUUUCCUUGCUUUCACCUCUCCAAAGACUCACCCUUCGGAUUUCUUCACUUGGACCCAUUGUCCUUCACAUUCAUUGUCUGCAGCCUACAAUCCAGAAAAGUCAUACUCCUUUUUUUUGUACUUUCUACUUUGCCAUGUGGUUGAAAUCAUGUCAAACAGAGCUGUACCAAACCUCCAGUGUCUGAAGGGAGAUUGUCUCUGCUGAAAGGGGGAGAGAGAGAGAGGACAGGAUGCUCCUGCCAGGCAAAUGAAGUAAUAUUUAGGAAUUUCCAGAAAUAUUCAUGAUGUCAUUUUUAUUUUUUGAAAGCUAUAGAAAAUAAAGUUGUGGGUUUUGUUAACA